UACAGAGGGUGCAAGCGUUAAUCGGAAUUACUGGGCGUAAAGCGUGCGUAGACGGUAGCGUAAGUCGGGUGUGAAAGCCCCGGGCUCAACCUGGGAAUUGCAUUCGAGACUGCUCUGCUAGGGUGCGGAAGAGGGAAGCGGAAUUUCCGGUGUAGCGGUGAAAUGCGUAGAUAUCGGAAGGAACACCAGUGGCGAAAGCGGCUUCCUGGUCCAGCACCGACGUUCAGGCACGAAAGCGUGGGGAGCAGACAGG
rnacentral:rRNA from 1 species